rnacentral:rRNA from 1 species
CCUACGGGGGGCAGCAGUGAGGAAUAUUGGUCAAUGGACGAGAGUCUGAACCAGCCAAGUAGCGUGAAGGAUGACUGCCCUAUGGGUUGUAAAUUUCUUUUAUAAAGGAAUAAAACGAGGCACGUGUGCCUUUUUGCAUGUACUUUAUGAAUAAGGAUCGGCUAACUCCGUGCCAGCAGCCGCGGUAAUACGGAGGAUCCGAGCGUUAUCCGGAUUUAUUGGGUUUAAAGGGGGCGUAGAUGGGUUGUUAAGUCGGUUGGGAAAGUUUGCGGGUCAACCGUAAAAUUGCAAUUGAUACUGGCAGUCUUGAGUACAGUUGAGGUAGGCGGAAUUCGUGGUGUAGCGGUGAAAUGCUUAGAGAUCACGAAGAACCCCGAUUGCGAAGGCAGCUUACUAAACUGUGACUGACAUUGAUGCUCGAAAGUGUGGGUAUCAAACAGGAUUAGAUACCCGUGUAGUC